rnacentral:rRNA from 1 species
UACGAAGGGUGCUAGCGUUGUUCGGAAUCACUGGGCGUAAAGCGCGCGUAGGCGGCUUGUCAAGUCAGGGGUGAAAUCCUGAGGCUUAACCUCAGAAUUGCCUUUGAAACUGUCAAGCUAGAGUGUCGGAGGGGAUAGCGGAAUUGCUAAUGUAGAGGUGAAAUUCGUAGAUAUUAGCAGGAACACCGGUGGCGAAGGCGGCUAUCUGGACGACGACUGACGCUGAGGCGCGAAAGCGUGGGGAUCAAACAGG